CAGUAUUUUGGCCACCUGAUGGGAAGAACCAACUCAUUGGAAAAGACCCUGAUGCUGGGAAAGAUUGAAGACGGGAGGAGAAGGGGACGACAGAGGAUGAGAUGGUUGGAUGGCAUCACCGACUCAAUGGACAUGAGUUUAGAAAUGUUUCCGGCUCUGCCAAUUUGUGCUGAGAAAUACUGGCUUUGAAGGAUUUGAAGAAGGAAGAAGUGUGGGCAAAGCACACAUUUGAGAGAUGGCUUUGGCAGCAGUGUCUGGCAGCAUGUUACAGAAAUACAAACAUGUGGAUCAGAGGCCGGGGCAUGUAGACUGACCACUGUGCUGACAGUAACUCAGUUUUUAUCUCAACCAUCCUCCCUUUAAGUUGUAACAUCAUUCAUUUGAAAACAGGCUUCCCUGGUGGCUCAGUGGUAAAGAAUCCUCCUGCCAAUGCAGGAGAGGAGAUGUGGGUUCAAUCCCUGGAUCUGAAAGAUCCCCCUGGAGAAGGAAAUGGCAAGCUGCUCCAGUAUUCUUGCCUGGUAUAUCCCAUGGACAGAAGAGCCUGGCAGUCUACAGUCCUUGGGGUUGCAAAAGAGUCAGACACAACUGAGCAACUAUAUAAAACAACAACUUUUUUAUACCCGUUACUCUUCUAUACGUAUCCUUUUUUACAUAACAAUAUGUAUUCUAGAAAUUACUCCAUAUAAAUUCUUCCUCUUUCAUUUUUACACUUUCAUAACACUCUAUUG
ensembl:lncRNA